AAAAAUAAAAAAAUAAAAAAUUUAAAAAAAUUUAAAAAUUAAAUUUGAUCACAAUUUAAUUGAAUUAAAUCAAACUAAACUAAAAUUAAAAUUAAAAUAAAAACCUUAAUUAAGAUCAAAAUUAAAAUUAAAGACAACCCUACAAUUCAGUCGUGAUUUCUUUAAAUUUUAAACCGAUCUGAUGGGCGAUGGCGACCUUCAACUAAAAUAGCUCAUUUAAUAUUAAUUUUCUAUUGUGCUUAAUAUUUCGUACAGUGAAAAUUAAAAUUAUCUCUUUUAAUUUAUUUUUAUUUUAUAUAAAAAAAGAAACAAAAUUACUUUA
rnacentral:misc_RNA from 1 species